rnacentral:rRNA from 1 species
UGGGGAAUAUUGCACAAUGGGCGCAAGCCUGAUGCAGCCAUGCCGCGUGUAUGAAGAAGGCCUUCGGGUUGUAAAGUACUUUCAGCGGGGAGGAAGGGAGUAAAGUUAAUACCUUUGCUCAUUGACGUUACCCGCAGAAGAAGCACCGGCUAACUCCGUGCCAGCAGCCGCGGUAAUACGGAGGGUGCAAGCGUUAAUCGGCAUUACUGGGCGUAAAGCGCACGCAGGCGGUUUGUUAAGUCAGAUGUGAAAUCCCCGGGCUCAACCUGGGAACUGCAUCUGAUACUGGCAAGCUUGAGUCUCGUAGAGGGAGGUAGAAUUCCAGGUGUAGCGGUGAAAUGCGUAGAGAUCUGGAGGAAUACCGGUGGCGAAGGCGGCCCCCUGGACGAAGACUGACGCUCAGGUGCGAAAGCGUGGGGAGCAAACA